UACCAACAACUGCAUAUUCCCUGGCUUCAGUAGUUCAGACUGUUCAGGACAUUUGAGUCUCUAGCACCCGCCGUUCCGCCGUUCGCUGCCGUUCUUCGAAAUGGUCUAAUGCUCCAUCACUCCAUUUUUCUCUUGAUUAGACUCCAGGGGUUUAAACCUUGUGCCUGCCCUGAUUCCUUCUCUGUGAUACGAAUCUCAAGUGAAGUGCUUCUUCCUCUGCCCCAAGAAAUGGGACUUAUAAAAGAUGGAGCUAUAUCUGGGAUUUUACCAGAUAGCGAGGGGUUUGUGGUGCAUUAUCCAGGUUAUCCAUCUUCAAUUCCUCGGGCGGUUGAAACUCUCGGGGGAACUGAAGGAAUUCUGAAGGCACGCAGCUCGAAGUCGAAUUCUUUGGAGCUUCAUUUCCGCCCUGAAGAUCCAUGCUCACAUCCUGCAUUUGCGGAGCUAGGCCCAUGCUGUAAUUUGUUGCUCAAAAUAUCGAAAAGGAAAACCUCUGGUACGCUUAUAGAUUCUGAAAACCCGUCAAAAAGUUCAACAACGAAAGUAGCAAACUUAGAGACGGUUGCUUGCAAUUCCGAGAAUGCGGAAAUAUCCCAAGAAGGUGAUCUUGGCAACACUGCGUCAGUUGGAAAUACAAGUCAAUCAGAUGAAUUAGAAGUUCACACAGACCUAUUUGCAGAUAUUGUUGCUCGAGUGUCCGAAGCUUAUCACUUUAAAGGAAUGGUGGACUACCAACAUGUUCUCGCUGUUCAUGCGGAAGUUUCAAGAAGAAAGAAGAGGCAGUGGGCAGAUGUAGAACCAAAAUUUGAGAAGGGUGGUCUUAUGGACAUAGAUCAGGAGGGUUUGAUGAUGCUGGUACCUCCACUUUUCUCACCCAAGGAUGAACCAGGGGACUUAGUGUUGAAAUCUUUAACAGCAUUAACAUCAAAAAAGAAACUAGAGGCAGUAGUACAACAGCGCUGGGAGAUGGAAAUUGAGCCAUGCCUUGCAAUCGAUUUUAACAUUGAAGAGAUUCCUAAGAAGUUCAAGUGGGAGGAAUAUGUUCAACAAGGUUCAACCCAAUGGGAAGGGUUGAUGGCUGUAUCUAAACUAUUCGAAGAGCGUCCUAUAUGGCCCAGGCGUUCACUGACUGAACGUCUGCUUGAUGACAAUCUAAAGCUGGGAUAUCAUCUGCUUAAAAGACUUCUUUUUAAAACUGCAUAUUACUUUUCAACUGGACCUUUCCGUCGAUUUUGGAUUAGAAAGGGAUAUGAUCCUCGGAAAGACCCUGAGUCACGGAUAUAUCAGAGCAUUGAUUUUCGACUGCCUCCUUCGAUACGAAAUUCCGCUGAUGCCAAUACAAGCACUGAGAAAUGGAGGGAUCUAUGUGCAUUUCGAGCUUUCCCCUGGAAAAGUCAAACUGCACUGCAGCUUUGCGAACUUGACGAUGAUUACAUUCAACAAGAGAUUAAGAAGCCUCUUGAACAAACAACUUGCUCAUGCUCAACAGGAUGGUUCCCUUCACAUGUCAUUAGUACCUUGAGAAAACGUGUUGCUGUGAGGUUCUUAUCAGUAUAUCCUAAGCCGGGUGGAGAAUACUUGUGGAAAUCAGCAAACGAGCGCUUUGAGAAGUCUAAGAGGGCGCAUGUUCUUAGAAAAGAGCCCAGACCUGAUGAGGAGCAACAUGCCAACAGAGAUUCGAGCACUGAAGAACCAUCUAGGGAUGCACCAACGGGUGGUACUGAAUUGAAUUUUGCCAACGAUAAUGAUGAACCUGAUGAGGAUGAGGAUGAGGAGAAUUAUGGGGACGGUGAGAUUGAAGAAGAGGAAGAGGAAGAGGAGGAAUUUGAGGAAUAUGCAUCACUUCAUUUGGACGGUGCUGAUGAUGAUUUCUCUUUACAAUCAUCCUAUCCUAUUGGUGAAAAUAUCUCCAAGAAUUACUUGCAGGAGCUAUUUGGUGGAUUUCCAUCCAGUGGCGUAGCUGGCAGUAACCUACAAGAUGGCGACAUCAGUGAUUACCAAAUACUGGGGGAUAUUAGCGAUGAUAAUGAUAAUUAUUCUGAUGGGGACAACUAAAAUCAUUUUAAAUUGGUAAUCAACCACUUUCUUUCUUCAGGCUGUGACUGUUUUUUAACGGCAAUAUAAUUGUGCUAGUGAGGUUUCAAAUUGUCAACUUGCCAUCAUUUGAGCUUCUAACACUCCAUGUAUGUGACUAGGAUAUCGGUCACCUACCUUACAGGCGUUAUGGUUAGAUAGUGAGGCUAUUGUGAUUUUAAUGGCAGGAACAAAAUGAGUCAUUUAUGGAUAUCUGGUUCAUAAGGCUGUGACUUCCGAUACAAUGUUAUUCGAUCCAAUUAGCAAGAUGAAUGUUUUGACUCUCGGAGUGUCUUCACAGCUCUCUGAACUAACAAUGAUGUACAACAAAGCAAAUGUUCUCAUUUUCACUUGAAAUGAGUUAUUUUCAGCAGUUAUUACUCAACGGGACAAGAAGAAGUGACAAGGUAAAUUUCUAGACCAGCUCACUCUAUUCAGCAGAGAGAUUACUCAUGUUGUCGUGUAUCUCCAUAAGCAAGUCAGGUUAUCGAGGAUCGACAGGUAUAUAGUAAACUGCACUUGCUGAACAUGGAUUGCAGAUACAUUAUUUGUAGCAAAUGUUUGGUCAGUUAAAGGAAGUAGAAGGAAAGCCUUCUAUAUUUAGAGAUGUUUCACUUUGUGUUUGCUGGCAUAUUACCUUAGCUUGCUAGGCUUCUUGAUAUUACAGCUGCAGAAUAUACAUGAGCUAAAAAAUCACCUCCUUUUGAAUUUUUAUAUAUAAAACAAAACACGAUGUGCAGAAUGUUUCA